AUCAAAUGACUGCUAACGAGAAAUCAUUAUUUUUUGAACAAUACUUGAAGUUACUACGUGAGUUUUAAAACACUCGGAAGUCUUGUCUAAAAUUUGGUUACAACGAUGGUUAAGCUAUUUUUUACAUUGUUUGCGCUGUUGAUAUUUGGUGUCAAUCGAUUUUAUUCUUUACCUAACAACAUUAAAGAAAAGGAGGUAUGUGAACUAAAAGAAGUUGAAAUGGAAGUCUCACAACCCGGUUGUGUUACUAAAAAAAUAAAAAACAACGAAUGUCAAGGAAUGUGCAGCUCUUUUUUUGUAUAUAGUUCAUUAGAACCAAAGCAAUACGGAUGUCGGAUUUGCAAACCAAAUCGAAAAAUGAUUGAAGUAGUCUUAGAUUGCAAA
rnacentral:lncRNA from 1 species